UACGGGGGGGAGCAAGCGUUGUUCGGAUUUACUGGGCGUAAAGGGCGCGUAGGCGGCGUGUUAAGUCAGCUGUGAAAUCUCCAAGCUUAACUUGGAACGGUCAGCUGAUACUGAUGUGCUAGAGUGCAGAAGGGGCAAUCGGAAUUCUUGGUGUAGCGGUGAAAUGCGUAGAUAUCGAGAGGAACACCUGCGGCGAAGGCGGGGUUGCUGGGCUGAUACUGACGCUGAGGCGCGAAAGCUAGGGGAGCGAACGGG
rnacentral:rRNA from 1 species